GCAGUCGAGCGGGGUAGCAAUACCUAGCGGCAGACGGGUGCGUAACAUGUGGGAAUCUGCCUUUUGGUUCGGAACAACAUGGGGAAACCUGUGCUAAUACCGGAUAAGUCCUAACGGAGAAAGUUUUAAUGCCAAAAGAUGAGCCCGCAUUUGAUUAGCUUGUUGGUGAGGUAAAAGCUCACCAAGGCUAUAAUCAAUAGCUGAUUUGAGAGGAUGAUCAGCCACACUGGGACUGAGAUACGGCCCAGACUCCUACGGGAGGCAGCAGUGGGGAAUCUUGCACAAUGGGCGAAAGCCUGAUGCAGCGAUGCCGCGUGAGUGAAGAAGGCCUUUGGGUUGUAAAGCUCUUUUGUCGGGAAAGAUAAUGACUGUACCCGAAGAAUAAGGUCCGGCUAACUUCGUGCCAGCAGCCGCGGUAAUACGAAGGGACCUAGCGUAGUUCGGAAUUACUGGGCGUAAAGAGUAUGUAGGCGGCUAGAUAAGUUAAUUGUGAAAGCCCAAAGCUUAACUUUGGAACUGCAAUUAAAACUAUUUAGCUGGAGUAUGAUAGAGGA
rnacentral:rRNA from 1 species